rnacentral:rRNA from 1 species
GUGCCAGCAGCCGCGGUAAUACGUAGGGUGCAAGCGUUGUUCGGAAUCAUUGGGCGUAAAGCGCGUGUAGGUUGUCAGUUAAGUCGGGUGUGAAAGCCCUCGGCUCAACCGGGGAAGUGCAUCCGAAACUAACUGACUAGAAGAUGGUAGAGGAAGGUGGAAUUCCUAGUGUAGAGGUGAAAUUCGUAGAUAUUAGGAGGAAUACCUGGGGCGAAGGCGGCCUUCUGGGCCAUUCUUGACACUGAGACGCGAAAGCGUGGGUAGCAAACAGGAUUAGAUACCCUGGUAGUCC